GACAGAGGGUGCAAACGUUGCUCGGAAUCACUGGGCGUAAAGGGCGUGUAGGCGGGAAUGUAAGUCGGGCGUGAAAUCCCUAGGCUCAACCUAGGAACUGCACUCGAAACUGCGUUUCUUGAGUAUCGGAGAGGAAAGCGGAAUACCUGGUGUAGAGGUGAAAUUCGUAGAUAUCAGGUGGAACACCAGUGGCGAAGGCGGCUUUCUGGACGAUAACUGGACGCUGAGACGCGAAAGCGUGGGGAGCAAACAGG
rnacentral:rRNA from 1 species